rnacentral:rRNA from 1 species
GACGAACGCUGGCGGCGUGCUUAACACAUGCAAGUCGAACGGAAAGGCCCUGCUUUUGUGGGGUGCUCGAGUGGCGAACGGGUGAGUAACACGUGAGUAACCUGCCCUUGACUUUGGGAUAACUUCAGGAAACUGGGGCUAAUACCGGAUAGGAGCUCCUGCUGCAUGGUGGGGGUUGGAAAGUUUCGGCGGUUGGGGAUGGACUCGCGGCUUAUCAGCUUGUUGGUGGGGUAGUGGCUUACCAAGGCUUUGACGGGUAGCCGGCCUGUGAGGGUGACCGGCGACAAUGGGACUGAGAUACGGCGCAGACUCCUACGGGAGGCAGCAGUGGGGAGUAUUGCACAGUGGGAGGGAGCCUGAUGCAGCAACGCCGCGUGCGUAAUGACGGCCUUCGGGUUGUGAACCGCUGUCGCCUGUGACGAAGCGUGAGUGACGGUAAUGGGUAAAGAAGCACCGGCUAACUACGUG